GGUUACCUUGUUACGACUUCACCCUAAUUACCAGUCCUACCUUCGGCCGCGCCCUCCUUGCGGUUCGGCUACGGACUUCGGGUAUUACCGGCUCUCAUGGUGUGACGGGCGGUGUGUACAAGGCCCGGGAACGUAUUCACCGCGGCAUGCUGAUCCGCGAUUACUAGCAAUUCCGACUUCAUGCAGGCGGGUUGCAGCCUGCAAUCUGAACUGGGACAGCUUUUAGGGGUUUGCUCCAUGUCACCAUAUUGCUUCCCUCUGUAUGACUGCCAUUGUAGUACGUGUGUAGCCCAGGUCAUAAGGGGCAUGAUGAUUUGACGUCGUCCCCACCUUCCUCCGUUUUGUCAACGGCAGUCCGGCUAGAGUGAUCAACCGAAUGUAUCAACUAACCGUAAGGGUUGCGCUCGUUGCGGGACUUAACCCAACAUCUCACGACACGAGCUGACGACAACCAUGCACCACCUGUCACCGAUGCCCCGAAGGGAAACCCUAUCUCUAGGGCGGUCAUCGGGAUGUCAAG
rnacentral:rRNA from 1 species